rnacentral:rRNA from 1 species
AUUGAACGCUGGCGGCAGGCUUAACACAUGCAAGUCGAGCGGAGAGAGGUAGCUUGCUACCGAUCUUAGCGGCGGACGGGUGAGUAAUGCUUAGGAAUCUGCCUAUUAGUGGGGGACAACAUUUCGAAAGGAAUGCUAAUACCGCAUACGUCCUACGGGAGAAAGCAGGGGAUCUUCGGACCUUGCGCUAAUAGAUGAGCCUAAGUCGGAUUAGCUAGUUGGUGGGGUAAAGGCCUACCAAGGCGACGAUCUGUAGCGGGUCUGAGAGGAUGAGCCGCCACACUGGGACUGAGACACGGCCCAGACUCCUACGGGAGGCAGCAGUGGGGAAUAUUGGACAAUGGGCGCAAGCCUGAUCCAGCCAUGCCGCGUGUGUGAAGAAGGCCUUAUGGUUGUAAAGCACUUUAAGCGAGGAGGAGGCUACUUUAGUUAAUACCUAGAGAUAGUGGACGUUACUCGCAGAAUAGGCACCGGCUAACUCCGUGCCAGCCGCCGCGGUAAGAC